AUUGAACGCUGGCGGCAGGCUUAACACAUGCAAGUCGAACGAUGAUUACCUAGCUUGCUAGAUAUGAUUAGUGGCGGACGGGUGAGUAACAUUUAGGAAUCUGCCUAGUAGUGGGGGAUAGCUCGGGGAAACUCGAAUUAAUACCGCAUACGACCUACGGGUGAAAGGGGGCGCAAGCUCUUGCUAUUAGAUGAGCCUAAAUCAGAUUAGCUAGUUGGUGGGGUAAAGGCCCACCAAGGCGACGAUCUGUAACUGGUCUGAGAGGAUGAUCAGUCACACCGGAACUGAGACACGGUCCGGACUCCUACGGGAGGCAGCAGUGGGGAAUAUUGGACAAUGGGGGCAACCCUGAUCCAGCCAUGCCGCGUGUGUGAAGAAGGCCCUUUGGUUGUAAAGCACUUUAAGCAGGGAGGAGAGGCUAAUGGUUAAUACCCAUUAGAUUAGACGUUACCUGCAGAAUAAGCACCGGCUAACUCUGUGCCAGCAGCCGCGGUAA
rnacentral:rRNA from 1 species